rnacentral:rRNA from 1 species
AGCGCCACAAGUGGCAAUCACGAUUAUUGGGCCUAAAGCGUUCGUAGCCGGUUUGGCAAAUCUUUUGUGAAAGCGUCAGGCUUAACUUGACGAGUGGCAGAAGACACUACCGAACUAGGGACCGGGAGGAGUCAGAAGUAUUCAAAGGGGACCGGUAAAAUGGUAUAAUCCUUUGAGGACUACCGAUGGCGAAGGCAUCUGACCAGAACGGAUCCGACGGUGAGGAACGAAAGCUAGGGGAGCAAACC